GCUCAGGCUUCAAUAACUGUGAAAAGGCGGCCAGGUUUAGUUUGGUUCGAAGGCACAAUAAAUCACAACUAUUCCGAACUGAUAAUAAUACAAAACUUGAGUAAACCGGGGCAUAAACACAUAAAAUACCCAUUCUCCAAAAUACAGUCUACACAAAAAUAUUCUUCUCAUGCAUAUUCAUUCACCAUCCAAAUACCCACAAACUGAGAACAGCCCCCUCGAUUAUCCAAAAAACAGAAGGCAUCCCAAAUGAUCAGAGGGAUUACCGCCUUCUCAUUCCCCUCCCACCGCGACCACGGCCCCGUCCGCCCAUUGCACUUGCAG
rnacentral:misc_RNA from 1 species